GCUGCUCGAUAUUUUUCAACUCUGAAAAAAAUGGAGAUAUGGUAGAGAAACCAUGAAUCAUAGCGAAACCCUUGUUGAUACCCUAAUUUGAUUUUGUUGAUACCUGAUUCUGUGACUUUGAAGAUGGAGAUGGAAAGAGUGGUGGUACUGAUAUUGAUUGAAUGGUGGUGGACUUAGCCGAGCAGUUGCAGGUUGAAUCUGUUUAUUUUUUGAAGCUGUUGAUUACAGAGAAUAAGGAAUUGAAGAUGGUUGUCUGUGGUGGAUUAGAAGCUGAGAAGAUGGUGUACUGUGGUUGGAGGUGGUGGUGCAUAAGAGUUUAAUCUACUUUUUUGGGGGUUGUUAAUGAAUGAAUAUGGUGAUGGCAUUGAGAUGAGUUGUUAAUGGAUCUGGUUAUGAACAGUGGUGUUGCUUGCUGUUGGUGUGGUGUUGUUGCUUGCAGGUGGUGGUGGUGGUACUACUGCUUGUUGCGGCUGAAAUAGAUCAGGAUCUUUACAUGGCACCGGAACUCCAGCCCGCAUUCAGGAUCGUUAUAUCACAUUUCCGGAGAGGGUUCACCGCUUCCUCUCUUGGGUAUAGCUGCCGCCGCCACCACCAGUUCAUCGCCAUCACCUCAACAACUCCAGAAGGGGUGUUUAAGACAAAAGUCAUACUGUUUUUCUCAAAACAGUUAAGUCGGAUGGAAACAUACCACUUUGCAAACACUAAUUAAAGCUAUGAUCAUUUUGUAAAACUAAUUAGGGGAGUGUGAUCAUUUUGUAAAACACCCUCUUUUUUUUCCUUUUUCUUUUUUUUUUAAUGAACAAGGAACCUUUUUUGGUGGAG